rnacentral:rRNA from 1 species
GUAGCGGCGGACGGGUGAGUAACGCGUGGGUAACCUGCCUCAUACAGGGGGAUAACAGUUAGAAAUGACUGCUAAUACCGCAUAAGACCACAGCACCGCAUGGUGCGGGGGUAAAAACUCCGGUGGUAUGAGACGGACCCGCGUCUGAUUAGCUAGUUGGUAAGGUAACGGCUUACCAAGGCGACGAUCAGUAGCCGACCUGAGAGGGUGACCGGCCACAUUGGGACUGAGACACGGCCCAAACUCCUACGGGAGGCAGCAGUGGGGAAUAUUGCACAAUGGGGGAAACCCUGAUGCAGCGACGCCGCGUGAGCGAAGAAGUAUUUCGGUAUGUAAAGCUCUAUCAGCAGGGAAGAAAAUGA